CGCUACGCGCGCAGCCUGCGCUGCUGCCGAGUCGCGCGCGACGGCCAUCAUUCCAAAUCCAGCCCGCGCGAUCGACAUCAUGCGGCCGAGAUAACGCCCGCGAUCCAUGAAGGACGCCGGGCGUUUUUGAUUUUUACUGCGAACAAAGAGGAUCUGUGAUGGCCUAUCUCGCGCCUUCGGAAUUCGUCACCAAGAUGGUGGAUGCCGGCGAAUCCAAAAUCUUCAUGUCCACCAGAGACACGGUCAUCCGCGCCUAUAUGGCGGGUGCUAUUUUGGCG
rnacentral:misc_RNA from 1 species